ACCACAAAGGUGGUGUUAGGUUCUUGUCAAUUAAAAACUAGUCAAGACUUGUGAUGCUUAAAAUAAUAUAUCAAAAUUGUUUGUCAUUAUAAGAUUUUGCUGAUCAACAUGGUGAGGCCUGGUAAAACUAUAGGAGACCCAUAUUCUUUUACCAAUCUGUUGCAGUGAAGCAUGAAUUUAUGUUUGUCUACAGGACCUUACAAAGAACAAUCUAACCCACUUUAUGCCUGCAAUGCCACGGAG